rnacentral:rRNA from 1 species
CACGUAGGGCGCAAGCGUUGUCCGGAAUUAUUGGGCGUAAAGAGCUCGUAGGCGGUCUGUUGCGUCCGCUGUGAAAACCCGGGGCUUAACCCUGGGCUGGCAGUGGAUACGGACAGACUAGAGGUAGGUAGGGGAGAAUGGAAUUCCCGGUGUAGCGGUGAAAUGCGCAGAUAUCGGGAAGAACACCGGUGGCGAAGGCGGUUCUCUGGGCCUUACCUGACGCUGAGGAGCGAAAGCGUGGGGAGCGAACAGG